AUAGACGUGCAGAUAAUUUUCAUAAUCUAUUAAGAAGACUAAGAUGAUAAUGUGUAUUAAACAAACUUCAGAAGUCAAUGAUAAUUUGUUUCUGUUAGUGGCAUUUUAAGUUCUUCUGUCGAAUUACUUGAUCAACUUCUCUCAUAAAUAUUUCUGAAUCCCAUCUUCAGCCAAUUGCCACUAUUCAAAAUUUCAAAAUUAUUAAUCAAACCUGAGAAGUUGAAAUAGUUUCUUGUAUUCUUCCAUCAGAUCCUGAGAACUUGAAAGGAAAGGGAAGGAGAAGUUGGUUUGGCACUGACUAGUGAAAGUUACAAUCAUGGAAAGAGCAAAAGACAUCGAAGGAGAAAGAGAGAAAGGGAAAGCAAUCAAAUCAUCGGUGUCAUUUUCUGCUCUUUGCGAGGACAUUGUCUAUGUUCUGGAUUUCAUAGAGAGCUUAAAGAAUGAAGAAUAUCAAAAACCUCUUGCCGUGGAUCUAAUUGAAAAGCUGAAAUUGGAGCUGGCAUUUAUUUCUAUAUAUGUCCAGCUUUCUUAUUCCGAUUUGGAAGAUUUUGAAGAUAUAAUGACUAGCAAAAGACAAGAUGUUGCAGAUCUGCUUAAAUCAAUUUUGGAUCAUUUUGACUACCAAGUGCGGUUUAAAUACGACAUGCAUCGCGUCGUUCCUCGCCUCGUAGAUGGAAUGAAAUAUUUUAUCAGGUCACAUCAUCAUUCUAAACCAACUGUCACCAUGACAGAGGAGCAGAUGGACUUCCUGCUCCUGAAUCUCCAUCAUCUAUCCAAGUAUCGUUCUGAACAGAUUUUUCCAUUAGUGACUCAAUAUGAGAUUCUUAAGAAUGUAUGUGUCAACAUAAAAGAUUUUCAUGGGUUGAAAAUGAAUGGUUGCGUUGAGCCUGAGAUUGUUGAAUAUGUCUUACCUCAGUUUCAACUAAUGGCUGAGAGAGUAGGACAUUUCCUUUGGGAUGAUCAGAUUGAUGAAGAUUCUCGACUCUUCAAGCUAGCACAUCUAUUCUUGAAGAUUAUUCCAAUUGAACUGGAGGUUAUGCACAUAACCUAUACAAAUUUAAAAGAUUCAAAGUCAACAGAAGUUGAACGCUUCAUUAAGCAGCUCCUAGAAACCUCUCCGAACAUACUUAGAGAAUAUCUGAUUCAUCUACAAGAGCACAUGGUAAAUGUUAUUACCGUUAGCACUUCAGGGGCCAGAAACAUUCAUGUCAUGAUAGAGUUCCUAUUAAUUAUUCUUACUGAUGUUCCCAUGGACAUUAUUCUUCAUGACAAAUUACUUGAUCUCCUGGCAUGCGUCGGAGAACUAACAAGGGAAGUAUCGACUCUUGUUCGUGACCUAGAAGAAAAACCAAGAAAUGAAGAGAGCUCUUGUGGAAAAUACCACGCAACUUCAGACUUGCCGCAAAAUAUUGAACACCUGAAGAGAGAUCUCAAAUGUGUUUACUUAAAAGCACCAGACUCAUCUGAACUCCGCUUCCCCAUGAGUGAUGGACCCCUCUUCAUGCAUCUUUUACUCAGACACUUAAAUAACUUGCUAGAUUCUAAUGCAUAUUCAGUUGCUUUGAUAAAUGAAGAAAUUGGGGUGGUGAAAAUAGACCUUGAAUUCAUAAGAUCUUUCUUCGUGAAUGUUGAGCAAGAAUUGUAUAAAGAUCUUUGGGCACGUGUUUUAGAUGUGGCAUAUGAGGCUAAAGAUGUCAUUGAUUCAAUUAUUGUAAGAGAUAAUGGUCUUUUACAUCUUAUUUUCUCACUACCCCUUGCUAUAGAAAAGAUCAAGCUUAUCAAAGAAGAGGUCUCCAAUUUACUUGAGAAGAUUCCCAAGAAUAGGAGCCUCAUUUUUGCCAACUUUCCCAACAAGCCAGUUGAAAGCAAGUCAUCAAAAGCUGAGAAAAUAAUUGUAGGGUUUGAGGAGGAGACGAACAUGAUAAUUAGGAAGCUUACCGGUGGACAGGUAGAGCUAGAUGUCAUUUCGAUCACUGGUAUGGCGGGUUCUGGAAAAACUACUUUGGCAUAUAAAAUAUACAAUGACAAGUCAGUUUUAAGUCAUUUCGACAUUCACGCAUGGUGCACAGUCGACCAAGAAUAUGAUGAGAAGAACUUGUUGGAGAAACUUUUUAAACAAGUUACUGGCUCGAAUUCGACUUUUGAUGUUGCUGAUGAGCUACGGAAACAUCUGUUUGGAAAAAGGUACCUUAUAGUCUUAGAUGACUUGUGGGAUACUACAGCAUGGGAUGAGUUAACAAGACCUUUUCCUAAAGUUGAGAAAGGAAGUAGAAUUAUUUUGACGAGUCGGGAUAAGAAAAUAGCUUUGCACGCACAAUGCCACAGUGAUCCUCUUGAUCUUCGAUUGCUAAGACCCGAAGAAAGUUGGGAGUUAUUAGAGAAAAAGGUCUUUGGAAAAGAAUGUUGCCCUGAUGAACUAUUGGAUAUUGGAAAAGAAAUAGUCCAAAAUUGUAAAGGGCUUCCUUUGGUGGCUGAUCUGAUUGCUGGAGUCAUAGCGAGGAAGGAAAGGAAAAGAACUGUGUGGCUUGAAAUUCGAAAUAAUUUGCAUUCCUUUAUUUUCAAUAAUGAAUUGGAAGUGAUGAAGAUUAUAGGACUAAGUUAUGACCAUUUGCCAGAUCCCGUAAAGCCGUGCUUACUAUACCUUGUAAGUUAUCCAAGGGACAAAGCAAUUUCCGUCAAUGUUUUGAAAGAUUAUUGGUGUGCCGAAGGAUUUGCGGAACAGACAAAAAUGAACAGUGUGGAAGAAGUGAUGGAGGAUUAUUUGGAUAGUUUAAUUUCCAGUAGCUUGGUAAUUCAUUUUAAUGAGAUAGGUAGAGACCGGACUUGCCAACUUCAUGAUCUUGUGCAUGAAUUUUGUGUGAUAAAAGCAAGAGAGGAAAAAUUUUCUGACUUGAUAACUUCAAGUGCUCCAUCAUUUUCGUCAGAUUUGAUGCCACGUCACAUAACCCUUUCUUAUGCUAAGAAGCGCUUUGGGCAUAACAAAAUUGUCCUGUUGGAUUCAAAAAAGAAAUGGUAUUCUGGUAAACACCUCUAUUCUUUGGGCAUAUCUGCAAACAAGCUGGACGAUCGUAUUUCUGAUAUAUGUCACCUAAGACAUUUGAGGCUUCUUAGAGUGUUGAUCCUGGAUAACGAAUUUAUAAAGGUGAAAGAUUCUUUGCUGAAUGAAAUAUGCUCCUUGACUCACUUGAGGUACUUAAACAUUCACACAAAAGUGAAAUCUCUGCCUUUGUCUUUCUCAAACCUCUGGAAUCUAGAAACUCUGGACGUGCAAAACGACGGACCACCCUUGGUACUACUACCGAUAAUUUGGAAUCUUGUAAAGUUGCGAGUCUUGGCCAUAAUUACAUGUUCUUUCUUUGAUUUGGAUAAUGAUGAACCAAUACUGAUAGCAGAGAACUCAAAGUUAGACAACUUGAAAAUAUUAGAGGUACUCGAUCUUUCCUAUUCGAAAGACACGGAGGAUAUUUUCAAAAGUUUUCCCAAUCUUCAACAUCUUAAUUUUAAUCUCAACAAAUCAUGGGAUUGUUCAACUGAGCAAUAUUGGUUCCCAAAUUUGGACUUCCUAAAUAAGCUAGAAAUCCUCAAAGUAACUUCUGAAAGUUCAAAUUCAAAUCUGCUGUGGGAUUUUCGCUUCCCUUCGAGUUUGAAAGAAUUGUGGUUGCGUAAGUUUUCUCUGACAUCCGAUUCACUAUCAACAAUAGCGAGACUGCCCAACCUUGAAGUGUUGUUUCUUUGUCGCCUAAUCAUCCAGGGAGGAGAAUGGAACAUGGGGGUGGAAGACACCUUUGAGAAUCUCAAAUGUUUGAUGUUGGAGCGAGUGAAUCUUGUUAAGUGGGAGGUUAGAGAGGAAUCCUUUCCCGUGCUUGAGAAAUUAGAACUGUGGGAAUGUCUUAAGCUUGAGGAGAUUCCGCUUAGUUUUGGGGAUAUUUGUUCACUAAAGUUUAUCGAUGUGUUGGAGAGCCCUCAACUUGAAGAAUCCGCUUUGGAGAUUAAGAAAUAUGUUGAAGAAAUGAUGGGAGAAGACAAGCUUCAGGUCAGGGGCCUGAGUGAGUCCUGAACGCUCUAACUGUGGGAAAAUAUAGAGCAUGUAAGGAAUACAUCCAGCUUUGGAGGUUUGCAUAUCAUAUGUUACUCCUCAAGUCCAGAUACUUGAGGGAGUAAUAUAUACUACAUUAAGUCCAUUAAAGAGAGAUGAAAUGUCAACUGACUCUCAUUGAUCUAGAGUAGCUCCCCCACUGUGUAACCAGUGUGUUAGUGUGACAAUGGAGUCCAAAGGAAAAGACAGAUUACUUUGCUUUGCCACUGUGCUUGUUCUCCGUGGUGCUAGAUUAUAUUGAAAACAUAUACCGGUCUUCAUGAGAUUGCUAACUCUUGUAAGAACUUAGGGUAUUUCCUUCCAAGCCAAAUGCAUGCGCAAGAACCGAAUGUAUCCUUGACAGAGCAAGGCCGUGUAGCUGUCUGAGCUGGCUUCCCUAAGCUCCACUCAGUUCUAUACUUCUGUCGCCAAAUGACAAGUGCCAACUUGGUUACUAUUGCAAGGAACCGUCCUAUCUUGAUCAGACUACCUUUGUGUAUAAUCAAGCCUCAAACUCCUGAUUAUCUAGCCCUUGGACCGCUCGGUGCUGGUUUUGGAGCCAUCAUGCAACACUGCAAGGGAUUGUGGCGACUUUUGCUUUCUGGCCUCCUUAUGGAUCUCGUGGUCGAGUACAUCGAGGCCCAUGCUAAGAAGCUAGAGAUGCUCUCCGCAACUUUUGGAGGGGAUAGUGAUCUAGGCCUCUACUACGUGCUCUCCGGUUGUGAAAGCCUCCAUAAGUUGGAGGUCAGGGACUGCCCCAUUGGUGACAAGUCUAAAAACAUCAUAGAACUACGAAUUGAACACCAAAUCAAAUGAAACCAAAAGUGCACACAAGUCUAAAAACAUCAUACGAACUUGCUCGCGCAAUCAAAUCGCCAACAUAACACCUGGAACUAAGAAUUAAACACCAAAUCAAAUGAAAUUUUCAAGAAAAUUUUGAAACUUCUAUUUUCACGGCCGGACGUCCAAAUCACGUCAAACCAACUCCGUUUCUCACCAAAUUUCACAAACAAG